GACCGUCUAUGGAUGACUUGAAGUGUUGAAGAUAGGAUCAACCAAGCAAGCACUCAAGCAAAGUCAAAAGGAUGACAAAAUUUGAAUUAAAUAUUAAUUAAAAGGAUUUAAAAAUGGAAAAUAACUAGAAAAUCCCAAACCAUAAGCAAAACAAUAAAUAAAUGGCUAAGAAAAAUACACAAAGUCCCAAAUAUUACUCA
rnacentral:lncRNA from 1 species